GACGAACGCUGGCGGCGUGCUUAACACAUGCCAGUCGAGCGGUAAGGCUCCUUCGGGAGUCCACGAGCGGCGAACGGGUGAGUAACACGUGAGUAAUCUGCCCUUCACUUCGGGAUAACCACCGGAAACGGUGGCUAAUACCGAAUACGACCAGUCUUCGCAUGAGGUGCUGGUGGAAAGUCUUUUCGGUGAAGGAUGUGCUCGCGGCCUAUCAGCUUGUUGGUGGGGUAAUGGCCUACCAAGGCUUGACGGGUAGCCGGCCUGAGAGGGUGACCGGCCACACUGGGACUGAGACACGGCCCAGACUCCUACGGGAGGCAGCAGUGGGGAAUAUUGGACAAUGGGCGAAAGCCUGAUCCAGCAACGCCGCGUGAGGGAUGACGGCCGUCGGGUUGUAAACCUCUUUCAGUACCGACGAAGCGCCCUGUCGGGUGGUGACGGUAGGUACAGAAGAAGGACCGGCCAACUACGUG
rnacentral:rRNA from 1 species